rnacentral:lncRNA from 1 species
AUCAUCCCACUUUAGGGGUUUUCUAAAUGAAUUCUUUGGUAGCCACUCUCUCUUCUACUCCUUCUCCUCAUUCUCUUCCUUCUUCACCAUUCUGAAUAUUUUCUAUUCCUCUGUGUGUCUUCCCAUUUUGUUUCUUUAUAAACACUGUGUUCUCACCAACAUGUUACGAAAAAAACUUUUUUGUGUGUAGUCUGGACCGUGACUCAUUUGGGCUUUUUGCGGUUGUGAUUGUCAAAGGGGUGGAAUGGGUUCCACGACCCUUAUUGCCGUUGUUCCAAAAGGUAGGAGACCUUCUUCUUCUGGUUGUGCCGACUCCGUGGGUGUGAGAUUGUGAGGGAGCCUUUCAAUGGGACCGUGAGGGUCACCAAAAAACUUCUGCAACAGGGACACAUGAAAUACUGGAUGUAUUCGCGUGUCCUCCGAUAAGGAGAGUUCAUAUGUCACUGGACCGAUCCUUCGGUACACCUAAAACAGUCCAAAAAACCGGCGACCCAACUUGUGAGAAGAGCGAUUUGAGACGGUGACCUGUCUAUACGGUUGCAGCCAUAUGAGGACCCACUCACCCACUUCAAAGGUAACAUUUGUGCUAUUUGCAUCGACAUGAGCCUUCAUUCUUUGUUGAGCAUAAAGUAGAUUUUUCUAUAAAGUAGCUAACAGUUGCCCCUUUGUUUGCAUUGUAUCCUGUAUUUUCUGUUUGGGUGUUGAACCCGGAAUGAAGUCGCGGAUUGUGGGCGGUGCACAACCAUAUAGAACCUCGAACAAAGACUGGUCUAUUGAGGAGUGGUGAUUGGUGUUAUAUCAAUACUCUGCCAAGAAUAGAUGUGCAAACCACUUCUUUGGAUGAGUACCCGUGAAACACCGGAGAUAUGUCUACAAGCAGCGGUUAACGACCUUCGUUUGUCCAUUGGACUGUGGAUGGUAAGCUGUACUAAAACAUAGUUUAGUGCCAAGUAGUUUGAAAAAUUAUUUCCAAAAUGUACUAAUGAAAAUUUUGUCUCUGUCGGACACGAUUGACUUAGGUACACCAUGAAGACGACAAAUCUCAUUCAAGAAUCGGAGAGCCAGUGUCUCAGUCGUGAAUUUGGUAGGUAAAGCAAUAAAAUGGGCAUAUUUUGUUAGUCGAUCCACAACAACCCAGAUUACUGUGUGUCCAUGAGAGCAAGGUAAAUGUGUUAUAAAAUCCAUCGAUGAGUCCUCACAAACUUGAUAUGGAAUUUUUAACGGUUGUAACAGUCCUUGAUAUUUUUGGCACAUACUUGUUGUAUUGACAGAUGGAGCAGGUGGGAAUGUAAUCCUUGACAUCUUGUGCUAUGUUGGGCCAGUAGAAGGAAGCAGUCAAACGACACAAAGUUGGUUUCCAACCCGAGUGGCCAGCAAGUGGUGUUUCAUGAAAUUCAUGGAUCAAUGAGUGGCAGAAAGUCUCAUGGGCAGGUAUAAAAAUCCGGUUUUUAAAGAAUAAUAGUCCAUGUGAGAAAUGGAAUUGUUCCUGCCAUUUAUGAUAUGUCUUAUGUUUCUGUACGAAUGUUUGGCCUUCUGGUUGAGCAUAAUAGGUAUGCAACUAGUCCAAUAUAUGAGGGAAUGGAGAGGAGAUUGUCGAGAACAGAGGAAGGUUAGAGUUGUCACAUCUAGAUAAAACAUCAGUAACUCGAUUAGAGGUACCACUCCUAUACUUGAUCUCAUAUUGGAACCCAAUGAGCUUAGUUGCCUAUUUUUGUUGUUCUAGGGUGUGAGACGCUUGAGUCAUCGAGUGUUUCAAACUCUGUUGAUCAGAAUAUAUAUUGAACUUUCUCCCAAUUAAGUAUUGACGCCAUUUCUUGACAAAUUCGGUGACCGCAAACAUUUCUUGGACGUAGACUAAUGUAUGCUGCAUUCUGGGGGACAUUUUCCAAAUAAAGAAAUCAAUCGGAUGGCCACAUUGGGAGAGAACCGCUCCAAUGGCAGUUGCAGAAGCAUCUGUUUCAACAUCAAAGGUCGACUUGAAAUCACGCAGAUUCAACGCCGAAGUAGUAGUCAUAACCAUUUUUAAUUAUGUAAAUGCCAAUUCUGUUGUACUAGACCAUGUAAAAUUGUUAUGCUUUAGUAAAUCGGUGAGUGGAGCAGCGAGAAAGGCAUAUUUUCUAACAAACUUUCUACAAAAGUCGGUGAGCCCCAAAAACCCUUUGAGUGUCGUGAGUGAAUGAGGUUGUGGUCAAUUUACCACUGCCUGGAUCUUUUCUGGAUCUGGUUGAACACCACUAUUAGCAAUGAUGUGACCCAAAUAACUCACUGAAUUAACUCCAAAGAUACACUUCGAUGAUUUAGCAUAAAAUUGGUUAGAACCCAAUAGGUCUAAAACAAUCUGUAAAUGCUUGAGGUGAUCUUGUAAGGAAGAACUGUAAAUCAAAAUGUCAUAAAAAAACACCAGAACAAAUUGUCUUAGAUAUGGUCUGAGUAAAUUGUUCAUUGCAACCUGAAAUGUAGAAGUCGCAUUGGUUAGCCCAAACGACAUAACCAAAAAUUCAUAGUGUCCAUCAAAGGUCCGAAAAACAGUUUUGUGGGUGUCUUCCGGAUGGACCCUAGUAUGAUGAUAGCUUGAGUGAAGGUCUAUUUUCGUGUAAAUUGUAGCACCCCCUAACUCAUCUAAUAAUUCAUCAAUUGUAGGAAAAAGAAAACGGUUCUUUAUAGUGAUAGAGUUUAACUCGCGAUAAUCAACACAAAAUCGCCAACUACCAUCUUUUUUUUAACUAACAAGACUAGUGAGGAGAAAGGGCUUGUACUAGGGAUUACUAUUCCUUCAUUCAACAUUUCUGUUAACAUCUUAGUCAUAGCGUCUUUUUGGAAGUGAGGGUAUCGGUAAGGUUUGGUAGAUGUUGGGGAGGAAUUUGGUAGAAGUGAAAUGUGGUGGUCUUCUAGAUAUGGUGGAGGUAGUCCGUGUGGUUUUUGGAAAACAUAGUUAUAUUGGGUGAGUAAGGAUUGGAUUUUAGGGUCUAUUGGUUUUUUUUUUUGUGAAACAAUGUUUGGUUAGGGGUGUAAGUGUAGAAAUUGUAUAAUGUGGAGGGAGGCUAUGAAAUCCAUGUGAAAUAAUCUAGAAAGUUGAUGAAAAGUUGCUGGGUGAUUAGAAGAGUUGGUGUCGCCUUGCAAGGUAAUUGUAUUGUCCUCUACUGUAAAGGUCAUUGAAGGAAUAGCAAAGUCUGAAAUUACAGGUCCUAGUGUCCUUAACCAUUCUAUACCGAAAACCACAUAUGCACCAUUAAUUGGUAAAAGAUAAAAUGAAAUAUGAAAAAGUUGGUUUUGGAGAGUGAUAGGAGUAUUAGAACACAAGUUGCCUAUUUUUGUUGUUCUAGGGUGUGAGACGCUUGAGUCAUCGAGUGUUUCAAACUCUGUUGAUCAGAAUAUAUAUUGAACUUUCUCCCAAUUAAGUAUUGACGCCAUUUCUUGACAAAUUCGGUGACCGCAAACAUUUCUUGGACGUAGACUAAUGUAUGCUGCAUUCUGGGGGACAUUUUCCAAAUAAAGAAAUCAAUCGGAUGGCCACAUUGGGAGAGAACCGCUCCAAUGGCAGUUGCAGAAGCAUCUGUUUCAACAUCAAAGGUCGACUUGAAAUCACGCAGAUUCAACGCCGAAGUAGUAGUCAUAACCAUUUUUAAUUAUGUAAAUGCCAAUUCUGUUGUACUAGACCAUGUAAAAUUGUUAUGCUUUAGUAAAUCGGUGAGUGGAGCAGCGAGAAAGGCAUAUUUUCUAACAAACUUUCUACAAAAGUCGGUGAGCCCCAAAAACCCUUUGAGUGUCGUGAGUGAAUGAGGUUGUGGUCAAUUUACCACUGCCUGGAUCUUUUCUGGAUCUGGUUGAACACCACUAUUAGCAA